UAGCAAUUCACCCAUAGUGGACUUGUUACUCAUGUUAUAUUGUUUGCAUGCCUAUUUUUGAUUUUAGAGCUAAGUCGGUUUUAUGUUUGUUGGACAAGAUAGUAGGCAACAUUUGAUUGGUGGGCUUCCAAUCUAACAAGGUGCGAUUUACAUUUGGGGCAGAGCAGAAAUGGAACCCGCAAUAAGUGGGCAUCUACUUUCCUGCUUUUCCCACCCCAAAUCACGAGUGGGUAUGUACAGGAAGGUCCCGAACAUACCUCACCGGUGUUUUGGCACAAGUAAUUCUAGUAUUAAAAUAAAUUAAUCUCAUCCUAAAGUGCCCUUAGUUGUUUUGUAUUCUAUUCAGUUAUUUUCUCAUGCCAAUGGAAAGGCUGAAGAGUGAUGGAAUUGCUGGAGUAUUAUCGUACGGGCUGUUGAAUACUGUCUCCUAUAUCACGACAUUUCUCUUGGUUUGAAUUUUAUCUGGAUGGUCUUUUAGAUAUUUGCACUACACGUCUCAGGUGCUCUCUGUGGCUGUGUAUAACCACUAUAAAAGGAUCUACCAUGCAUCCUUGAACGGGUCUGGGGCAGAAUCGGGGAAUCCUGAGGCAGAAAUUGAUGACAAUGAUUCUGUGGAGCUAGAGAAAAGCAAUGUACUCUUGAUGGGUCCAACCACCUCUGAUAUAACUUGUAUGUAUAGGAAGCUGGCGUCAAAGUUGAUCCGUUGGGGGAUCUAGAUAUAGAGUCGGAAAGAAAAUUGGGGCAGCUGGUUCUAGAGAAGGCCCAUACCUGCAAAAUACAAGAACUCACCUGCAAAGGGUGCUGGGAGAUGACAGUGUUCUAGAUGUCAGGUUUGAGGACUUUGGAUGAAAGCAGAUGCGCUUCUCAUAAUGGUUGGUAUCAUCGUAUUGCAAAAGAAGGUAUUCCUGUGGGUUUGCGCUGUUAUCAUUUUUUCUUUUUUGGUAAGUCACAUUGUUCUGUUCUGUUGUAUCAGCUAGGCGGAAUAACAAUAUGAUACAAGGCAUAUCAGACCAUAUCACCUUGAUAUCUUGCAUAAAAAAAAUGCAGGAAAAUAUCAGAAAGAAAAAGAAAAAAUCCAAAAGAAAAGGGAAAACGGGAAAAACAUGAAUCUUUCAGUUUAUUAUUAUUAUUAUUAUUAUUAUUUUAUGCAUUUGUGUAUCAGACCAUUCCUUGGUAAUAAUGAUGUUUGUUGGCCUGACCUUUUGGAAUUUUACACACCCAACACUGGAUGGAUGAAGAUGCUUCAGCAUGCAAGAGCUUGAAGGCAUUUCAAUAUAGGAUAGCUUCCUUAAGGGUGUUUUUUGGUACAUAGAAAUCUUAGCCAUUACUAUGGAAAUGUGAGCUUAUGUUGUUUGGAAAUUCAAUUUUCCAUGGAAAUUUAGUUCCAAUUACAAGUAUCUUCAAUGGAAGAUGCCACUUUUUUCCACAUUGUAGGAGUUGGAAUCUGUGUUUCCUUGGUAACAAACGAAAGCUUCUUUCCAUACUUUACCAUCUCCAUUCCUCCAUUCUAAGAGCUACUUCCCUCAACGAAAAUCCUGAUGGAGAUCCAAAUGAACAUGGGUUCUCCAUCAAUUACAAUGACUGAAUACAAAUGCAUAACCAUUACAACACCCUUUCUUUAGGGACCAGCUUUUGCAUGCUUUCACAGUCCUCUACCUUGACAGAAAUGCCCCACCCACACUUUGUGGCGCUAUUGAAUCGUGUUAGGAACCGGGAGCUUCCCAACAAAUCCUUUUUUUUUUUUUUACAUUGUUAGACCAUCUAAUCAUUUUUUAGUAAGGGAAAUGUUGGUAAUGUUUUCUUAGGAGAAAAGGAAAUUAACGUUGUAUUCUCUUUGUUGUUUACUGUUAACUUGUUUUGGCUUUUCUUGAAGGUGAGGAGAUCAUUUCAGGAGCACAGUGUGUACACGAUCCUGAGUUUUUGGCAACUUGUGAAGUGACAUGUGGUAUUGAUUUAAAGACAAUAUCAACAUACAUUGAUUCUUUCCGAUAUGAUUUUUUCACUCUUGGUGAAAAAAAAAACCAUAAGAACAUAAGACCAAUUCCAGCAAUCAAUGCAUUUAUGAAGGUAAUUCAUUGAAAACUCGGAGGGAUUUUGAAGCUUAGCAUUCAACUAAAUUAAUCAUUUCAGGUGGUUUAAUCCAAACUGCCCAAAGUUUAUUUCUUGAUCAAACUUUGGUUUAUACAUUAGUUUGAAUGUAAUCAUUAUCUUCACUAACAAAGUGAGAAUUAAUUUGCUUACGGUUUUAAAG